rnacentral:rRNA from 1 species
AUAGCAUAUCAGAAGGCACACCCGGAGAACUGAAACAUCUUAGUAACCGGAGGAAGAGAAAGAAAAUUCGAUUCCCUUAGUAGCGGCGAGCGAAACGGGAAGAGCCCAAACCAACAAGCUUGCUUGUUGGGGUUGUAGGACACUCUAUACGGAGUUACAAAGGACGACAUUAGACGAAUCAUCUGGAAAGAUGAAUCAAAGAAGGUAAUAAUCCUGUAGUCGAAAAUGUUGUCUCUCUUGAGUGGAUCCUGAGUACGACGGAGCACGUGAAAUUCCGUCGGAAUCUGGGAGGACCAUCUCCUAAGGCUAAAUACUCUCUAGUGACCGAUAGUGAACCAGUACCGUGAGGGAAAGGUGAAAAGCACCCCGGAAGGGGAGUGAAAUAGAACCUGAAACCGUGUGCUUACAAGUAGUCAGAGCCCGUUAAUGGGUGAUGGCGUGCCUUUUGUAGAAUGAACCGGCGAGUUACGAUUUGAUGCAAGGUUAAGCAGUAAAUGUGGAGCCGUAGCGAAAGCGAGUCUGAAUAGGGCGUUUAGUAUUUGGUCGUAGACCCGAAACCAGGUGAUCUACCCUUGGUCAGGUUGAAGUUCAGGUAACACUGAAUGGAGGACCGAACCGACUUACGUUGAAAAGUGAGCGGAUGAACUGAGGGUAGCGGAGAAAUUCCAAUCGAACCUGGAGAUAGCUGGUUCUCUCCGAAAUAGCUUUAGGGCUAGCCUCAAGUGAUGAUUAUUGGAGGUAGAGCACUGUUUGGACGAGGGGCCCCUCUCGGGUUACCGAAUUCAGACAAACUCCGAAUGCCAAUUAAUUUAACUUGGGAGUCAGAACAUGGGUGAUAAGGUCCGUGUUCGAAAGGGAAACAGCCCAGACCACCAGCUAAGGUCCCAAAAUAUAUGUUAAGUGGAAAAGGAUGUGGCGUUGCCCAGACAACUAGGAUGUUGGCUUAGAAGCAGCCAUCAUUUAAAGAGUGCGUAAUAGCUCACUAGUCGAGUGACACUGCGCCGAAAAUGUACCGGGGCUAAACAUAUUACCGAAGCUGUGGAUUGUCCUUUGGACAAUGGUAGGAGAGCGUUCUAAGGGCGUUGAAGCAUGAUCGUAAGGACAUGUGGAGCGCUUAGAAGUGAGAAUGCCGGUGUGAGUAGCGAAAGACGGGUGAGAAUCCCGUCCACCGAUUGACUAAGGUUUCCAGAGGAAGGCUCGUCCGCUCUGGGUUAGUCGGGUCCUAAGCUGAGGCCGACAGGCGUAGGCGAUGGAUAACAGGUUGAUAUUCCUGUACCACCUAUAAUCGUUUUAAUCGAUGGGGGGACGCAGUAGGAUAGGCGAAGCGUGCGAUUGGAUUGCACGUCUAAGCAGUAAGGCUGAGUAUUAGGCAAAUCCGGUACUCGUUAAGGCUGAGC